rnacentral:rRNA from 1 species
UACGUAGGUGGCAAGCGUUGUCCGGAAUUACUGGGCGUAAAGCGUGCGCAGGCGGUUUUGUAAGUCUGACGUGAAAUCCCCGGGCUCAACCUGGGAAUUGCAUUGGAGACUGCAAGGCUAGAAUCUGGCAGAGGGGGGUAGAAUUCCACGUGUAGCAGUGAAAUGCGUAGAGAUGUGGAGGAACACCGAUGGCGAAGGCAGCCCCCUGGGUCAAGAUUGACGCUCAUGCACGAAAGCGUGGGGAGCGAACAGG